rnacentral:sRNA from 1 species
CCUGAAAGGUAUACUUAUCGGUUUCAGUAGUAUC